UACGAAGGGGGCUAGCGUUGUUCGGAUUUACUGGGCGUAAAGCGCACGUAGGCGGAUCGUUAAGUCGGGGGUGAAAUCCUGGAGCUCAACUCCAGAACUGCCUUCGAUACUGGCGAUCUUGAGUCCGGAAGAGGUGAGUGGAACUCCUAGUGUAGAGGUGGAAUUCGUAGAUAUUAGGAAGAACACCAGUGGCGAAGGCGACUUACUGGACGACUGUUGACGCUGAGGUGCGAAAGCGUGGGGAGCAAACAGG
rnacentral:rRNA from 1 species